rnacentral:lncRNA from 1 species
CUUCAGGAGUGAAGCUGCAGACCUUCGCGUGAUGGAGGUUGAGAAGUCCAACUUCAAGGCACCACAUCUGGUGAGAGCCUUCAUUCCGAUGACAGCCUUCAUGCUGGUAAGAUUUUCUUCAGAGUUCCAAGGUGGUGCACGGCAUCACAUGGCGAAGGAAAUGAGCGUGCUAGCUCAGGUGUCUCUUCCUCUUCUUAUAAAGCCACCAGUCCCACUCCUGUGCUAGUAACUCUUUAAUCCAUCAACCCAUUAAUCCAUGAAUAGAUUAACCCAUGAGGCCUCUGCCCUCAGGACCCAAUCACCUCUUAAAGGCCUGACCUGUCAAUAUUGCCAUACUGGGGACUCAGUUUCAACAUGAGUUUUGAAAGGGACAAACAUUCAAUCCAUAGUAACAUGAGAGCUUUUCAAAGCCCUUCUUUGUUGAAGUAUGUCCUUCUCCAGCCUCUUUUUUCCCAGGCUUUUUGUUUUUUCUAUUGCUUGUGCAGCUGUUAUCCUUUGCUACAGGUGGCAAUAGCUAAUACAUUUGCCUUUAAAUUUGUUUGACAAACACCACCCUGGAAGUAGCCUCAACUCUGGGGAAGCUCCAAGACAGGUAAAAUACAGCAACCUGCAGCAGGAAAAUGGGCUUCAGUUUUCAAGUCUGCAGCUGAGUUGGGAAGUUGCGGACAGUAACCAGUAAUACACAAUAUUGGCAACAAUGCAACAAAAUGGACACACUCUACUCUCCAGCGGGAGUAGCACAGAAAUACUUUUAAGAAUUUCUGACUACAAAAAAUUGGUUUUUUAAUUCCCUGUGCCAAGUUCAGAAAUAUGCCAUAAUGGAACAAGAUAACUAAAAGAAGAAAACUACCUCAAGGUUAAAAAAACGAAAAGAAGAGAAAGAAAAAAGGAAAGAAGCAGAAGGAAGAACUCUGCUGCAGUACUGGAAGCAGGCAGAUUAUUUAAAUUACGGUGGUGCCAUGGAACAAGAGAAGGCAGAUGAAGAGCGACACCCUUCAAGUUAACACAGGAACAAUUAACAAUAGAAUCCUUAAGAUGCAAAACUCCUUGCUGUUUACCAGCAACAGAAGAGAGGAAGAAGUGGCUCUGGGGGAAUUGCGUGCCAGUCUGCGGCAGGUUGGCUGGAGAAGCAGCCCUGGUUGGAGCUUUGGAGAGACACAUGUGCAUUUACUUGUUACCUGGAAGACCUUUUAAAAAAAAUUCUCGUAAAUCUGUCAUUUGUGUAUCCUCAAGGUUUGUGGCAGAAAGCAGAUAUAUCUGCUCCUGUGUGUAAUUGUUGUUAAAAAACACAAAAAGGAAAUAAAAGUGCACAACAUACCUAGCAGACUUGACCAGAGGGAAUUGGGAAAGGCCAAAGUAAAUUAUUCUAAAAAAUAAGCAAGCAAACCAGAAAAGGUUAAGAUGGAGAGGAGCUUAGAGGAGCAAGUGCUCUUCCCAUGCUGGGAAAAAGGCAGCGACAGAACCGCCUAGUGGGCAGGUGAGGGCACUGAUCACGUGAUAGACUGGGGCCCACUGCAUCUCUUUUCUCUUUGGGUCUUGAGGAUGGAGAGGCAGGAACAUGAAAACAGUGAGAAAUUUUGAGGUUCACUUCCCUUCUUCCACCUCUCACUUCCCCCAUAACCUCUUCCUUUUGAUAGUGCUGGAAGAACAACCCAAGGCCAGCCCUCUUGAAGCAGGCAAAUAGAUGCUUGUCCUUUACUUCAUGUAUAAAGAGAUUGUUUUCUUUCUUUACUAAGACAGUCAGAGCCAAUGAAAGUGGAAGAUAAGUACCUCGAGAGAGCCCUAAGGAGGGAGCAUGGGGGUUCAAGUGUAUGGUCUACUUAGGCAGAGAGGAAUCAGAGUUAAACUAGGCUCAAAAUACAUUUUUAUUUUGAGACAGCCUUGCUCUGUUG